AGAGAGAGACAUGCGCGCAUAUCAAUAAGCGGAGGAAAAGAAACUAACAAGGAUUCCCUCAGUAACGGCGAGUGAAGCGGGAAGAGCUCAAAUUUGAAAUCUUCAAGGUUCUACCUUGACGAAUUGUAGUUUAAAGAAGUGUUUUCUGUUGAAGUUUUGGUAAAAGUUCUUUGGAAUAGGACAUCAUAGAGGGUGAGAAUCCCGUAUUUGACCAUUAUUUUCAGCUUUGUGAUACACUUUCAAAGAGUCGGAUUGUUUGGGAAUGCAGUCCAAAAUGGGUGGUAAAUUUCAUCUAAAGCUAAAUAUUGGCGAGAGACCGAUAGCGAACAAGUACCGUGAGGGAAAGAUGAAAAGAACUUUGAAAAGAGAGUUAAACAGUACGUGAAAUUGUCAAAAGGGAAGCGUUUGACACCAGUGUUGUUUUCUCGAAAAUCAAUUAAAAAUGGCUCGAUUUUGUAUUGCUGAGACCUUAAAAGCUCACUGUACAUUUUUCGUGUCUUUUUUAAUGCACUUUUCGUUCAACAAGUCAACAUCAGUUUCUUUUGUUGUAAAAGGGUCAUUGGAAGGUGGCUUUCUUUUCGGAGAAAGUGUUUAUAGCCUUUGGCCUCUGCAAUCGGAGAGACUGAGGUCUGCAGCGUAGACUCUUCGGGGUUAGAUACAUUUGUGCUAAGUUAUAGCUUUUUAUAGACAACUUGUUGACUAUAAUUAGUCUUGUAGCUUACUCGCUUAUGCUAUUUUACCUACGCUUAGGAUGUUGAGUCGUAGAGCACGCAG
rnacentral:rRNA from 1 species